rnacentral:snRNA from 1 species
AUCUUUGCGCUUGGGGCAAUGACGCAGCUAGUGAGGUUAUACCGAGGCGCGUCAAUUGCUGGUUGAAAACUAUUUCCAAACCCCCUCUUCGGCCCUGGUGAAUGCCUGGGCUGUCGAGAAUUUCUGGAAAGGCUCCCUCUAAACAAGGGUAAAGCC